rnacentral:rRNA from 1 species
AACGAACGCUGGCGGCAGGCUUAACACAUGCCAGUCGAACGCCCCGCAAGGGGAGUGGCCGACGGGUGAGUAACGCGUGGGAACAUACCCUUUUCUACGGAAUAGCUCUGGGAAACUGGAAUUAAUACCGUAUACGCCCUACGGGGGAAAGAUUUAUCGGGGAAGGAUUGGCCCGCGUUGGAUUAGCUAGUUGGUGGGGUAAAGGCCUACCAAGGCGACGAUCCAUAGCUGGUCUGAGAGGAUGAUCAGCCACAUUGGGACUGAGACACGGCCCAAACUCCUACGGGAGGCAGCAGUGGGGAAUAUUGGACAAUGGGCGCAAGCCUGAUCCAGCCAUGCCGCGUGAGUGAUGAAGGCCUUAGGGUUGUAAAGCUCUUUCACCGAUGAAGAUAAUGACGGUAGUCGGAGAAGAAGCCCCGGCUAACUUCGUG